AACUUAGUAAAUUUUAGUUGAGUUCUGUUUCGCAUGUAGUUCAAUGGUUCAAAUGUUGUUCGCAUUCGCAUUCGCAUGUUAUUCGUUGUACGUUAUUCGGGUGGGUCGUUUUUGUUGUAAUUUUUUAGUGACACAUUAAAAAUUGGAAAUUCUAGCGGCGCGCUUCUAAUUUAUGUUCAUACGGCAUUUCUGCAAGUUUUAUCUACUCCCUUCCUGUUGGAAAAUAUUGCGGUAGUGUAAAGUUAUUAUAUUUUCCUAUUAUUUGUGAAAAUGUUUGAAUAAGUGCAUACCUACGCUACUGAAAAUCGGAUUAGGUGGUGGCCGUGGUGACGUGACGGCAGUAAAAGUAGUAGCAACAGCGAAAACCGAAACAGUAGAAAAGAUAAUAUAAAAAUAACGUAGAAUAAGAAAAAUUCGUAACGAAAGCAGGAAAGGAGAAAAGCAAAGCUGGUCAAGUGCAAACGAAUUGUUGCUGGUCCGCUGCCUUGGAGUAGCACUUGGCAAGUUUGCGUCUUCUGCUUCCGCCGACUCGUGGUAACGUGGAAAGAAACGGACAACGGACGUGUUGGAAUCGAAUACUUGUUUUACGCGACGCGAUACGAAACGAAAUAUAUAGUGAUUAGUAAAAACUGGGGUUUUAAGAGUUAAAAAAAAAAAAUACUAGACAAACGUUU
rnacentral:lncRNA from 1 species